rnacentral:lncRNA from 1 species
GACAGGCCCAAAGUCUCGCUCGUCUCCCUUUCUAACGGUGGACACACACGGGACUCGGAUCUUGGGUCGUCGGAGAAGAAUCAGCAGCAGGAAAUCAACCGGAGAAGGAUGCACACCAGGUACUCGAUGGUUUCCCCCCAGCACUAACUUUGUGCUGAGUUCGUUUUUGUUAUUUUUUGGUUUAUGACUGAAGUGAGGAGAAGCUACACACUGCUCUCUCCUUUACAGCCUCACGCUCACUGCGUGUGUCCAGGUCAUGCAGUACAGCACGACACUAUCACCUUGCCCAUGCCUGCUAUACGUGUGCAGAGCAUGUCAACAGUGCCCAGGACAUGAGCUACACCUAUGCUACAUGCCCUGCUUUAUUUGUUACAGUUUUACACAAGUGAAAACCCCAAGCUAAAUUACAGAGGACAAGAAUAACUCGCUGUCAGUCUCCCCCUUAAGCUUGUUCUCUGUUCUUCACCGAGCGAAUGCCAAUUCUCUCUUGCAGCUCAAUGAACUUGACCCGCGGCAUUGGCUUCGUCAGUAAAUCUGCAAGUUGGUCCCCGGUGCUCACAUGUUCCACCGUGAUCUUCCCUGUUUCAACACAAUCACGAAUGAAAUGAUAUCUAAUGUCAAUAUGCUUGCUUCGAUCAUGUAGCACUGGGUUUUUGCACAAAGAUAUGGUUGACUUAUUGUCAACUUUCAUCUUCACUACUUGCUCUUCUUUCUCCUGCAACCCUGCCAGCAAUCUGCUCAACCAAAUUGCUUGACAUGCUGCUGUGGCAGCAGCAAUGUACUCAGCUUCACAUGAUGAUAUAGCAACAACCUUCUGUUUUUGAGAUGCCCAAGUGACCAAGUUUGAGCCCAAGAAGAACACUGUCCCUGAUGUACUCUUCCUGUCUUCAAUAUCUCCAGCAAGAUCACUGUCAGAAUAACCCAAAAGUCUUGGUUCUCCUUCCACUCCUUUUCUGUAGUGGCAGCCAUAGUUUAUAGUACCACGUAAGUAUCUCAGAAUUUGCCUGAUUGCAUUCAUGUGAUGCACAGUUGGUUCUUCCAUGAAGCGACUAACUAUGCCCACUGAAAAAGCCAAAUCUGGUCUUGUGUUUACAAGGUACCUGAGACUGCCAACUAAACUUCUGAAGUAAGUAGAAUCAACCUUUUGAUCCUUUGUUGACUUACAGAGUUUGAUUUUUGGCUCCAUUGGUACUUGGCUGGGAUUGCACUCAGACAUGCCUGCCUUUUCCAAAAUCUUCUCAGCAUAACUUGCCUGACAGAUUGUAAUCCCCUCUGUGGUUUGAGCUACCUCAAUGCCCAAGUAAUAUGAUAGCAACCCUAAAUCACUCAUUUUGAAGAGUUCCAUCAUUUGGUCCUUGAAUUUUUCUAUCUCAUCUUGGCUGGACCCCGUAAUGAUCAGAUCAUCAACAUACACACCCACAAUCAGCCGAGCCCCCCUUGAGCACUUCACAUAGACCCCAUGCUCAAGUGGACAUCUUGCAAAACCAAGUGACAAGAGACUUUCAUCAAGUUUGAUGUUCCAAGCUCGUGGAGCUUGUUUCAGCCCAUAUAGGGCUUUUUUCAAUUUUAGCACUCUAUGCUCUUGGCCUUCUUUCUCAUACCCAGGAGGUUGGAUGACAUAGACAUCCUCACACAGUUCCCCAUUCAAGAAGGCAGAUUUUACAUCCAUAUGGUGAACUUGCCACUCCUCCUGUGCAGCUAGAGCAACGAGCAACCUCAGAGUCUCUAACCGGGCUACAGGGGCAUAUACUUCUUCAUAGUCAAUUCCUUGUCUUUGGACAUACCCUUUUGCAACCAAACGAGCUUUGUGUUUCACUAUUGCUCCUGAAGGAUCCUUUUUUAUUUUGUACACCCAUUUCAAACCAAUGGGCUUCUGAUCCUUAGGUGGAUCUACCAUGAUCCAAGUUUCAUUUUCGACAAUGGAGUUUAUCUCUUCAUCCAUUGCUCUGCACCAACAUGCUUCCUUUCUUGCUUCAACAAGAUUCGAGGGCUCCUCUGCACUCAACAUGCAUAAAUCUGAAUCAAUAAGUUCAUAUGGUUCAGUUUGAUCUAGCAAUUCUUGCAGAUUUCUAUAGCCUUGUGGUCCAGCACUUGCAGAUGCUGCUGCUCCUGUCUCAUCCCCAUCAACACUACCAACGCCUCUUGCUGGUGCUGUAAGCGGGGUUGAGAAUGUGUCUUCUCCUGAUGUUGUUUGAGCUGCAGGUGUGUGUGGUGAGCCAAGAUCAGCAUCACCAUGCACUUCCUCCCCCUGUUUCGGCACUUCUGAAAAUUCCCUUGUUUCAGUAUUUUCAUCUUCAGGGUAGAAUACAGCAAACUCUGCAUCUGAGCUUUCAUCUUCUUGCUGUUGCAUAGAACUCCAGUCCCACUGAGCAUUUUCAUCAAAUAUAACAUCACGUGAGACUAGGAGCUGCUUGUUGACCGGAUCAUACAGUCGAUAAGCUUUUGCAUUAGUUUCAUAACCAAGCAUUACCGUUUUGACACUUCGAUCAGCAAGCUUUGGCAGAUGUGGUUUGGUUACCUUGGCAUAAGCAACUGAACCAAAUGUUCUCAGGUGCUGGACGCUUGGCUUCUUGUUUUUCCAGGCCUCAUAAGGUGUAAUAUUGGUCAAGCUUUUCGUUGGCGCUCUGUUCAAUAAAUACACAGCCGUGGCCACUGCUUCACCCCAGAACUUUCCAGGUACAUUUUUGCUUUUUAAUAAACUUCUUGCCAUGCUAACCACUGUUUGAUUUCUCCUCUCCACAACCCCAUUCUGCUGAGGUGAGUAAGGUGCUGUCAUAUAAUGAAUGAUUCCAUUUUCCCCACAAUAUGCCUUGAACUCUUUGGAAUUGAAUUCCCCACCCCUGUCUGUUCUCAAUGACUUGAGGCUUGAUUCAGCUUGUUUCUCUGCUUGGUUUUUCACCAAUUUGAAAGCAUCUAGCGCUUGAUCUUUCGUCUUCAGGAGCACUACCCACAUGUAUCUGCUGUGAUCAUCUACAAGCAAUAGGAAAUACCUUUUGCCUGCAGGUGUAGCUGGUGAGAUUGGGCCACACAAGUCUCCAUGAACUAACACCAAAGGCUUCUUUGCUCUGUAAGAAGUUGCUUUUGGGAAUGAUGCACGCCUCUGCUUGCUGAUGAGGCAUCCAACACAGAUUUGAUCAAUGUGAUCAAUACAUGGUAACCCCUUUACCAUCCCUUUUCUUGCUAACUCCCUAAGUGCCUUGAAGUUUAAGUGUCCAUAUCUCGCGUGCCACUUCCAUGCUUCAUCACCAGUACUAGCUUUCAGACACACGGGCUUAGCCAUAAUCAGAUCUAGGAUAUAGAGUCUAUUCCGUGUUCGCUUCACAUUUGCCAACAACUUCCUCUCAGUAUCGAAGAUCUGAAGAUAAUCAUCCUCAAUUAUCAUCUUGCAGCCACGUUCAGACAAUUGACCAAUACUUAUAAUGUUACUCUUCAGAGCUGGUAUGAAAUACACAUUGGUUAGUGCCCUAUGCUCCCCAUUUUUGCAUUGGAAGAGCACAGUACCUAGGCCGUGUAUUUUCACUGUCGAUCCAUCCCCAAACUUUACUCUUCCAGUAACACUUGGAUCAAUUUCACUGAAUUUUUGUUCACAGCCACACAUAUGGUUGCUUGCUCCCGUGUCUAGGUACCAACUUCCAGUUUCUCUGUUUUCGUUACAGACCUGGAGCUGUACCUUGUCUUCAAUCAGAAAAACUUCACUUUGAUGUUUUUCUUCUCCAUGUGACAAAGAACAUGUUUGCAUCAUAAGCAGGGCUGGGCCAUCAUCACCCCCAUCUUGUUGAGCAAGAAGUGCUCUCUGUUUCUUAGGCUGCGUGCAAUCUCUUUUAAAAUGCCCUUUCCUACCACAGUUGUGGCAUUUGACUUUCCUAAUGUCAAAUUUCCAGUCGCUCUUCUGUGAAUCACUGGACUGCCCUUCAGUUUUUGGCUUCCCCUGUUCACUGUUCUUCCUUGAGCUACUGCUAGCUCGAUCGCCUCCUUUCUUCUUCUCCUCAUACUUCUGCCAUUGUGACCUUGAGAACAUCAAGUGUUCCCCUUCUUGUGGAUCACCAAAUCUCAUACGAACACGCUCAUCAUAUGCCUUGUAUCGCCCAAUUAAGUCCUCCACAGAAAGUGUGUUUAACGGAACACAUUGCUCUAUUGAAGUCACAAUUUGCAUAUACCUUGCAGGAGCAGCCUGAAGAAAUUUCUGAACUGACCGCAGUUCAGUGACCAUGUCACCAAGUGUCCGCAGCUUGGCGACCAGGGUGUUCAGCCGUGCUGCGAAGUCGUCGACGGCCUCGGCGUCACCCAUCUUGAGCUGCUCGAACUCAAGCCUCAUCGCCUGAAGGCUCGCCUGCUGCACGCGGUCGUGACCGACGUGCGCUGCGCGGAUGGUUUCCCACGCCGCCUUUGCCGAGUCCUUGCCAGCGAGGGACGGCAUGAAGGAAUCCGGCACGCUCUGGUAGAUGGCGUACAGGGCCUCUCGAUCUACCUCAUAAUCCACGGCCGUCCGCUCCACCGCCUCCCAGAUGCGCGCUGACUGCAUCGCCACCCUCAUCUUUAUCACCCAGAUGGAGUAGUUCAUCUUCGUCAGCUGCGGCCACACGAGCGGCCCGCGCGGCCGCCCGCUCUGCGCUACCGACACCGCCAACGGUAGCAGCUCGCUGCUGCCGGCAGUCUUCGCAUCCGCCUUGUCAGCAGCCCCCUUCCCCGCAUCAGCCAACGCCUUGGCGGCUUCCGCCUUGGCCGCUUCCGCCUCGGCGGCUUCCGCCUCCUCCUGCAGCGUCGGCGCCAUCUCCUUCUCCUAGCUCCUAACUUCGGCUCUGGUGCCAAAUGACAGGCCCAAAGUCUCGCUCGUCUCCCUUUCUAACGGUGGACACACACGGGACUCGAAUCUUGGGUCGUCGGAGAAGAAUCAGCAGCAGGAAAUCAACCGGAGAAGGAUGCACACCAGGUACUCGAUGGUUUCCCCCCAGCACUAACUUUGUGCUGAGUUCGUUUUUGUUAUUUUUUGGUUUAUGACUGAAGUGAGGAGAAGCUACACACUGCUCUCUCCUUUACAGCCUCACGCUCACUGCGUGUGUCCAGGUCAUGCAGUACAGCACGACACUAUCACCUUGCCCAUGCCUGCUAUACGUGUGCAGAGCAUGUCAACAGUGCCCAGGACAUGAGCUACACCUAUGCUACAUGCCCUGCUUUAUUUGUUACAGUUUUACACAAGUGAAAACCCCAAGCUAAAUUACAGAGGACAAGAAUAACUCGCUGUCAA